rnacentral:tRNA from 1 species
AGGGGUAUAGUUCAGUCGGUAGAACGUCAGUCUCCAAAACUGAAUGUCGAGGGUUCGAGUCCUUCUGCCCCUG